rnacentral:rRNA from 1 species
GGAGAUUGAACGCUGGCGGCAGGCCUAACACAUGCAAGUCGAGCGGAUGAAGGGAGCUUGCUCCUGGAUUCAGCGGCGGACGGGUGAGUAAUGCCUAGGAAUCUGCCUGGUAGUGGGGGAUAACGUCCGGAAACGGGCGCUAAUACCGCAUACGUCCUGAGGGAGAAAGUGGGGGAUCUUCGGACCUCACGCUAUCAGAUGAGCCUAGGUCGGAUUAGCUAGUUGGUGGGGUAAAGGCCUACCAAGGCGACGAUCCGUAACUGGUCUGAGAGGAUGAUCAGUCACACUGGAACUGAGACACGGUCCAGACUCCUACGGGAGGCAGCAGUGGGGAAUAUUGGACAAUGGGCGAAAGCCUGAUCCAGCCAUGCCGCGUGUGUGAAGAAGGUCUUCGGAUUGUAAAGCACUUUAAGUUGGGAGGAAGGGCAGUAAGUUAAUACCUUGCUGUUUUGACGUUACCAACAGAAUAAGCACCGGCUAACUUCGUGCCAGCAGCCGCGGUAAUACGAAGGGUGCAAGCGUUAAUCGGAAUUACUGGGCGUAAAGCGCGCGUAGGUGGUUCAGCAAGUUGGAUGUGAAAUCCCCGGGCUCAACCUGGGAACUGCAUCCAAAACUACUGAGCUAGAGUACGGUAGAGGGUGGUGGAAUUUCCUGUGUAGCGGUGAAAUGCGUAGAUAUAGGAAGGAACACCAGUGGCGAAGGCGACCACCUGGACUGAUACUGACACUGAGGUGCGAAAGCGUGGGGAGCAAACAGGACUAGAUACCCUGGUAGUCCACGCCGUAAACGAUGUCGACUAGCCGUUGGGAUCCUUGAGAUCUUAGUGGCGCAGCUAACGCGAUAAGUCGACCGCCUGGGGAGUACGGCCGCAAGGUUAAAACUCAAAUGAAUUGACGGGGGCCCGCACAAGCGGUGGAGCAUGUGGUUUAAUUCGAAGCAACGCGAAGAACCUUACCUGGCCUUGACAUGCUGAGAACUUUCCAGAGAUGGAUUGGUGCCUUCGGGAACUCAGACACAGGUGCUGCAUGGCUGUCGUCAGCUCGUGUCGCGAGAUGUUGGGUUAAGUCCCGUAACGAGCGCAACCCUUGUCCUUAGUUACCAGCACCUCGGGUGGGCACUCUAAGGAGACUGCCGGUGACAAACCGGAGGAAGGUGGGGAUGACGUCAAGUCAUCAUGGCCCUUACGGCCAGGGCUACACACGUGCUACAAUGGUCGGUACAAAGGGUUGCCAAGCCGCGAGGUGGAGCUAAUCCCAUAAAACCGAUCGUAGUCCGGAUCGCAGUCUGCAACUCGACUGCGUGAAGUCGGAAUCGCUAGUAAUCGUGAAUCAGAAUGUCACGGUGAAUACGUUCCCGGGCCUUGUACACACCGCCCGUCACACCAUGGGAGUGGGUUGCUCCAGAAGUAGCUAGUCUAACCGCAAGGGGGACGGUUACCACGGAGUGAUUCAUGACUGGGGUGAAGUCGUAACAAGGU